AGACGUUUCCUUUCAGAGCCUGCCAGCAUCAUUAGCAGAUUCUUGGACUUCCUGAAUAUUUCUUCCUAGAUAAUAUGAGCCUGCUUCAUCACUUCAACAGGAUCUUGAAGGUCUGAAUGUCAAUUUUCUUCUCUCCCUCUGUGCAAUAGUAGUUCUACUGACUAAGCCAAAUUGUCCUGUACCUUUCAGAUGGGACUUCAGCUCACUUUAGUUUUUCUACAUGAAAAUGUUUCACAUUAUCUGCCCAUGGAGAACUUCAAUAGGGCUGUGAAAAGAUCAUCAGUUUAACAUAAAAUAUCUCUCUAGCUUCACUCGACUGGUCUUGACUUUUAUGGCUUAGUUGAUUUUAUGGUCAUUGUUCGUGGAUUUGGAUUACUGACACAGGUGAGAGAUAAUUAUUCUGAAUGCCAAUGAAUGGAUGGUGCCCAGGAACCACUUCCUGAGGCCAGCAGGUCUCUAACCUUCCUGCUCUGGACAGGUGAAACUGUUACCCUGCACAUCCAUGACUCACUUGGUGACAGUCCAGCUACAGUCAGGUGCCUCUAGGACUGAAGACUGCUGGCAUUCAGAAUUGCUGUAGACCACUGCCAGACAUAAUCCUCUGGAUACAAUGGAUAUUUUGGCAUUCUCUGAGCAGACCUUGCCACAGGCUGUUGCUUCAGCACUAUGAGAUUCUGCCAGCAUGUUUGGGGCUGCCCUUCAAAGAUCUGUCAGACAGCCAGAGCAGGAUGGGAGCAGCAGGAUGAACUAGGAAUGCUUUUUCAGACUGACUGUAUGAAUCAAGUACUCAGAGGGAUCUACUUCUUACAGUGCCUCAGAUCUUUGCACUUGAAUCCCACAUGACUGCUACCACACAUAAGAGGUACCACAUGUAAGAGCAGAGCCCACCUGCCUUCCCAGAGGUUGCUCACAGGUGUGAAAAUAAAUUUAGUGACAGCAGUAGACUGUAAAGGCAGUCUGCCAAGAGCAAGAGGCAUUGGUGAUGGUCAUGCACCCAGAGGGAAAAAAGAUCGGUACCAAAAUAGGUAAUUGCUUUCGUAUUCUUAGCUGGAAAAUAUUUGAUAUGAAAAUUAAGUGUGUAAUUCAAAUUUAAAACUACCACUACCUAGGAGACAGUCAUGUUAUGACAGCUUUAGA